UUCCGUAACUUCCGUAAAAAU
rnacentral:piRNA from 1 species